AUUGAACGCUGGCGGCAUGCCUUACACAUGCAAGUCGAACGGCAGCGGGGGAGAAGCUUGCUUUUCCUGCCGGCGAGUGGCGAACGGGUGAGUAAUACAUCGGAACGUGCCCUGUAGUGGGGGAUAACUAGUUGAAAGAUUAGCUAAUACCGCAUACGACCUGAGGGUGAAAGUGGGGGACCGCAAGGCCUCAUGCUAUAGGAGCGGCCGAUGUCUGAUUAGCUAGUUGGUGGGGUAAAGGCCCACCAAGGCGACGAUCAGUAGCCGGUCUGAGAGGACGAUCAGCCACACUGGGACUGAGACACGGCCCAGACUCCUACGGGAGGCAGCAGUGGGGAAUUUUGGACAAUGGGCGAAAGCCUGAUCCAGCAAUGCCGCGUGUGUGAAGAAGGCCUUCGGGUUGUAAAGCACUUUUGUCCGGAAAGAAAUGGCUCUGGUUAAUACCUGGGGUCGAUGACGGUACCGGAAGAAUAAGGACCGGCUAACUACGUGCCAGCCGCCGCGGUAA
rnacentral:rRNA from 1 species